UUGAAAGUUGAGCCACCCGGGCUGCAUCAUGCUCAGGCUGUGGUUCCAGACCACCACUCGGGAAAGGUCACAUGGGUGAACCCUCACUGAAAGCAGCGAGGGUGACCCUGUAGCCAUCAGUUCCCUGGAGUCUUCCGGGUCCAACCCCAAGGCAAGGUCAGCUCCGGGCUCCAGCAGAGCCCGGCGGAGGACUCAGCAGCCACCACUAUGCAUGCAAGGUUCUUCACGUUCCAACUCUGGCGCCCUGACAGGUUCUUCAGGCCAUGCCUAUCCCCAGGCAGGGAAGGCUAGGAAGGUGCAGGCCACCCUACGUGCUGGCUCAUAGAUGACCAGAAACAGCCAGGUUAAAUGAUUUGUUCAGGACAUUACAAUGUGUGCCACCUGUGGCUUCACUCUUUAAGACACGGGAUUUUGUUGGACUAUAGAAGAAAAUCCCAGGACUUACAUGGUCAGCAGAAUGGGCCUGGGAGGAAGCUCGUUUUGCAAAGUGCUGGCAGUGCAAGCAUGAGGACGCAUGUUUUGUACCUGAAGACAUAUUGCAAAAAAUCAGGAUCAAUCUGUAACCCCCAGCAUGGCAGAAUUAUUUGUGUUUCCUUAAACAUUUUCUCCAAAGUAUCUGCAUCAGAAUCAGUCAACAAAAUAUCAUCUAUGUAAUGGCAGGAGACCAGACCUACAGACUGUGCAUGAUAACAAGCUUGGAAGUGCUGAAGAUACAAGAACACAAUCCUCGCGCUUACUGGGAUGACAGACAAGCAGAUGAUUCUAUUAUAGCAAAAUAGCGAUAGACAAAGUUCAAAAGAUUUUCCGAGGAAAUAUGGGAAGGUAACCCAGAACUGGAAGGAAGAGGUAGGGAAUCCUGGAGGCAAUGCUGCCUUCGUUGUGGGUAGUGCUGGGGGAAAGGCAUGCUCCCUGGCUGGGGAAGGCAGCCCUCCAUGUGCUCAGGAAAAUGGAGGAACUCUAUUGAUGAAGCUGGCCGUGCUGACUUGCAGUGAAACAGAUCUGUAGUAUCAGCUGACACAAAUCAUCUCUAAUAAAAGUAAUUUCUAGCAAUAAAAACCUGGCAAUGUACUCUCCUGGCAGCUCUGAUCAAAGGUCCUUGCUAUCUGUGACUGCAAAUGCUGGCACCCAGACACUCACUGACGCAGAGGACGCA